rnacentral:sRNA from 1 species
AGCAGCCGCGGUAAUUCCAGCUCCAAUAGCGUAUAUUAAAGUUGUUGCAGUUAAAAAGCUCGUAGUUGAAUUUCGGGAUCAGUACGCUGGUCGUGCCUUGUGUAUGUACUGGUGUUACUGGUUCCUACCUUCUGACGAACCGUCAUGUCAUUAAUUUGGUGUGGCGGGGAAUCAGGACUGUUACUUUGAAAAAAUUAGAGUGUUUAAAGCAGGCUCGCGCUUGAAUACAUUAGCAUGGAAUAAUGAAAUAGGACGUUCGAUCCUAUUUUGUUGGUUUCUAGGAUUGACGUAAUGAUUAAUAGGGAUAGUUGGGGGCAUUAGUAUUCAAUUGUCAGAGGUGAAAUUCUUGGAUUUAUUGAAGACUAACUACUGCGAAAGCAUUUGCCAAGGAUGUUUUCAUUAAUCAAGAACGAAAGUUAGGGGAUCGAAGACGAUCAGAUACCGUCGUAGUCUUAACCAUAAACUAUGCCGACUAGGGAUCGGAUGAUGUUAUUUUAAUGACCCAUUCGGCGCCUUACGG